rnacentral:rRNA from 1 species
AUACGGAGGGUGCAAGCGUUAAGCGGAAUUACUGGGCGUAAAGCGCGCGUAGGCGGUUUAGUCAGUCAGAUGUGAAAGCCCCGGGCUCAACCUGGGAACUGCAUUUGAUACUGCUGAACUAGAGUAUGGUAGAGGGAAGUGGAAUUCCGGGUGUAGCGGUGAAAUGCGUAGAUAUCCGGAGGAACACCAGUGGCGAAGGCGACUUCCUGGACCAAUACUGACGCUGAGGUGCGAAAGCGUGGGUAGCAAACAGGAUUAGAUACCCUAGUAGUCC